rnacentral:rRNA from 1 species
UACGGAGGAUGCGAGCGUUAUCCGGAUUUAUUGGGUUUAAAGGGUGCGCAGGCGGUCUGUUAAGUCAGCGGUCAAAGCCCGGGGCUCAACCCCGGCCCGCCGUUGAAACUGGAAGACUUGAGUGUGUUUGAGGUAGGCGGAAUGCGUGGUGUAGCGGUGAAAUGCAUAGAUAUCACGCAGAACUCCGAUUGCGAAGGCAGCUUACUAAGCCAUAACUGACACUGAAGCACGAAAGCGUGGGGAUCAAACAGG